GCAAAGUUAUACUUAAGUCAGGUGAACUUGAAAAUUGCUUAAACUUAUUUACUUUAUUUAUGAGUGCUCUUUUACUUGUAAGCCAAUUUGGUAGACACAAUGUAUUACAAUAGGUGUACAUACAAAUAAACACAUCUAGACAUGUAGACCCACACAUAAACGAAGAACCAACAGCUUGGAACCUUAGCUGUGAGAUAGCAAUACAAGCUUGUUGGCAUUUACUUUGUCUCAAUAGAUAAUCCAACAAAGGCUGUGAACCAAAAUUUCAGGUAAAGCAGUCUCCAUGGAGCUUGAUUUUUCAAGACCAAACCUCUCCAGAUUCCAAAGAACACUGGGGCCAAACAGCACCCAAGGAGCAUGUCACAUGUUAACCAGGCCCCCUGCUUAGAACAGCAGCAACAAAGGCUGGAUACAUGCAAUGCCAUCCCACUUUCCCAUUCAACAGGAAACUCCAGAUUCCAAACUAUACUGGGGCUAAACAGUAUUGCAAACCGGAGAGAAAAUUCUAAGGGGGGCUUAGUACUAGACCUCAAAACCUCUGCCGAGAGCACCCCCUUUGGAGAGGCGAUACCAGGGAGUGACCCCAGCGAAUUGCCCUCAAUUUCCAAGAAGCUACUAGGAAACAGCCGCUAAAAGACUGAAAAACAAACAAAGGAAAAGAAAAAAGAAAAACACUCAGGUCCCUUAAGUGAAUAGGGUGGUGGUGGUUAGGCACCUCCACAUGGAAACCCCUUAUUUCACUGGUCACAGCCAGAAACCUGCAGUUGCUUCCAUGUUUCUGCGCUUCCCACCAAGGGUCCCGAGGUGGAAAGGAACAGACAGACAGAGAAAAAUCUCCCUGUAUGUAAAAGGGGAAAGGAGAAAAAUAAAUCCCAAACUUUGGGCCUACCUUCUCCUGGCUGGCUCGCCAAAAUAUGUUACCGGUGGAGGGUGUCCAGUUUCUUGGUGUCUUGAACAAAGAAUUAGACAAAAGGCACAAACAAAAUAAGGAAGGAAUGAAGGGAUUUAUUGAAAAUCAAAGUACACAGCUGGGCGCAGUGGCUCAAGCCUGUAAUCCCAGCACUUUGGGAGGCCGAGGUGGGUGGAUCACCCUGAUGUCAGGAGUUCAAGACCAGACUGGCCAAGAUGGUGAAACCCCGUGUCUACUAAAAAUACAAAAAUUAGCUGGGUGAGAUGGCGGGCGCCUGUAAUCCCAACUAUUCGGGAGGCUGAGGCAGAGAAUUGCUUGAACCUGGGAGGCAGAGGUUGCAGUGAGCCGAGAUCAGACCACUGUACUCCAGCCUGGGUGACAGGGCAAGACUCUGUCUCAAAAAAAAGAAAAAAAAGAAAAGAAAAUGAAAGUACACUCCACAGUGUGGGAGCAGGGCUGAACAGAGGGGCUCUAAGGCCCCGUUACAGAAUUUCUGGGAGUUUAGAUACCCUCUAGAGGUUAUAUUCCAUUGGUU
rnacentral:lncRNA from 10 species